AUCUAAAUAGUUUAAGUGAAAAUGUUGGUUUGUGGUGCCGAUGAUAUAGGUUUCUAUUUUGGAUU
rnacentral:tRNA from 2 species